rnacentral:rRNA from 1 species
AGCUCCGUUAGUGUAUUCAAAAGUUGUUGCUGUUAAAACGCUCGUAGUCGAAAUUGGACGCUGCCCGAACUGUCCGUCCUAGUGGAGUGCACGGUGCGGGCGGUGUCUCUGUGUGCGCGUGGCCUUGUGUCGCGAGCACACCAUUUACCUAAAGGAAAUCGAAUCGCUCCAAGAAGGCCUUUGGCCAUGGACGCUUCAGUUUGGAAUAAUGAAAAAUGACAUUGUCUCUUUUUCGUUGGUUUAUAGAGUGAUGUAAUGAUUAAUGGGAACGGUUGGGGUUGUCUGUACUUCCUGGUUAGAGGUGAAAUUCAGUUAUCCAGGAAAGACAAACUACUGCGAAGGCAUUCAACCGGGACGUUUCCG